rnacentral:rRNA from 1 species
AUUGAACGCUGGCGGCAGGCUUAACACAUGCAAGUCGAGCGGAGAUGAGGUGCUUGCACCUUAUCUUAGCGGCGGACGGGUGAGUAAUGCUUAGGAAUCUGCCUAUUAGUGGGGGACAACAUUCCGAAAGGAAUGCUAAUACCGCAUACGUCCUACGGGAGAAAGCAGGGGAUCUUCGGACCUUGCGCUAAUAGAUGAGCCUAAGUCGGAUUAGCUAGUUGGUGGGGUAAGGGCCUACCAAGGCGACGAUCUGUAGCGGGUCUGAGAGGAUGAUCGGCCACACUGGGACUGAGGCACGGCCCAGACUCCUCCGGGAGGCAGCAGUGGGGAAUAUUGGACAAUGGGGGGAACCCCGAUCCAGCCAUGCCGCGUGUGUGAGAAGGCCUUAUGGUUGUAAAGCACUUUAAGCGAGGAGGAGGCUACUGAGACUAAUACUCUUGGAUAGUGGACGUUACUCGCAGAAUAAGCACCGGCUAACUCUGUGCCAGCCGCCGCAGUAACAC